GGUCGCUGUUUUUAUGUGGUGCUCUGAGUUUUCUGGUUUUUUGGAUAGUUACGGUUACCUUUGACGACGAUUGAAUAACAAGACAUCGGGUGAAGAUUCGACGAGCCAGGCAUCUUACAGCUGUGAUUACGGCAGGAAAAGCCGCGAAAUUGGGAUCUAAAAUUUUGCAGCACUGCAUGACUUACACUGUUAUGCGAUAUGGCCUACCUCCCAAUCUGUGCCAACGGGGCCUAAAGGCAAUAUGUACCUACAUACGCUUCUGCUUCAAAAAGUACGCGGAAAUGAGAGCAAAGAACAAAAAACAAUACAGUGAAGUUAUGACGGAGUGCGUGGUGAAGAACACAAUCAUGUCACUGAGCCGAUUUAGUUCAAGUUAUCAAGGAAAGGACCUUCAAGAUGCGAUGGGUUUACUUAUCGAUGGGAGGAAAUGCCUCCUCAGAAACAACCUCAUUCCUGAUACCGUUGACGUGGCCUUACAGUGCGUCCGCUGGCUGCGAACGGCCAUAUUUUGAUAUUCCUACCUAUGAAAUAUUCCUUAAUCGCCUGUGGAAGCGGCGUUAGUCUUGCAGACACAGCGUACCUGCGAAAUUGCAAUUAGAGCUGAAGCAGUGCUUAGAGUCUUAUCCCCGCAGUAUUAGCCUCAACGUUUGUUCCUUUAAAGGCGAAUAAAGAAUGGACCACGCA